rnacentral:rRNA from 1 species
AACGUACGCUGGCGGCACGCCUAACACAUGCAAGUCGAACGCAGUAGCAAUACUUAGUGGCAGACGGGUGAGUAACAUGUAGGUAUCUGCCCUUUGGCCUGGAAUAACACGAGGAAACUUGUGCUAAUACCGGAUAAGUCUUUACGGAGAAAGCUUUAUGCACCAUUGGAUGAGCCUGCACUUGAUUAGUUUGUUGGUGGGGUAAUGGCCUACCAAGACUGUGAUCAAUAGCUGAUUUGAGAGGAUGAUCAGCCACAUUGGGACUGAGACACGGCCCAAACUCCUACGGGAGGCAGCAGUGGGGAAUCUUGCACAAUGGAGGAAACUCUGAUGCAGCGAUGCCGCGUGAGUGAAGAAGGCCCUUGGGUUGUAAAGCUCUUUCGUCGGGGAAGAAAAUGACUGUACCCGAAUAAGAAGGUCCGGCUAACUUCGUGCCAGCAGCCGCGGUAAUACGAAGGGACCUAGCGUAGUUCGGAAUUACUGGGCUUAAAGAGUUCGUAGGUGGUUGAAAAAGUUAGUGGUGAAAUCCCAGAGCUUAACUCUGGAACUGCCAUUAAAACUUUUCAGCUAGAGUAUGAUAGAGGAAAGCAGAAUUUCUAGUGUAGAGGUGAAAUUCGUAGAUAUUAGAAAGAAUACCAAUUGCGAAGGCAGCUUUCUGGAUCAUUACUGACACUGAGGAACGAAAGCAUGGGUAGCGAAGAGGAUUAGAUACCCUCGUAGUCCAUGCCGUAAACGAUGUGUGUUAGACGUUGGAAAUUUAUUUUCAGUGUCGCAGGGAAACCGAUAAACACACCGCCUGGGGAGUACGACCGCAAGGUUAAAACUCAAAUGAAUUGACGGGGACCCGCACAAGUAGUGGAGCAUGUGGUUUAAUUCGAAGAUACGCGCAGAACCUUACCAACACUUGACAUGUUCGUCGCGACUCUAAGAGAUUAGAGUUUUCGGUUCGGCCGGACGAAACACAGGUGCUGCAUGGCUGUCGUCAGCUCGUGUCGUGAGAUGUUGGGUUAAGUCCCGCAACGAGCGCAACCCUCACUUUUAGUUGCCAUCAUUAAGUUGGGCACUCUGAAAGAACUGCCAGUGAUAAGCUGGAGGAAGGUGGGGAUGACGUCAAGUCCUCAUGGCCCUUACGUGUUGGGCUACACACGUGCUACAAUGGUAUCUACAACAGGAAGCAAGACUGCGAAGUUAAGCAAAUCCCUAAAAGAUACCUCAGUUCGGAUUGCACUCUGCAACUCGAGUGCAUGAAGCUGGAAUUACUAGUAAUCGUGGAUCAGCGUGCCACGGUGAAUGCGUUCCCGGGUCU